AUGAGUGGAAAUCCUGGACAAUUACAUACCUGAACUGGAAAAGGCCAGUGUCUCCCGGGACAUGUAUGAAUGUGAAUGUUUAACUGCAAUGAAAAUGAAACUGUCAAAGCCAGGGAUCCCGUGUGGUGGCGACAUUGAUGGCAGACGCAGGUGGAUGAGUUGUUGAGAGGUGCAGCUUGCCAUAGAGGGUAUGAUGUCAAUUGGCCCAGGUUGUUGUAUUGUCCAGGCAGUAUUGAUGUUUUCCCAUAUUAGAACCAAUGCCUUACUCCUGCCAACUCCAGCUGGGAUCCACGUGGGAGAAAUCUGCCAAGUUGGUUUCCUCGUUCCGAAUUUGAGAGGAGAAUGACAGCGGGAUUUCAGUGAAGUCAUCUGCUGAUGGCUAUAUGAAAGGAAACAAGAUUUCCUUUGCGAAGAAUCAUUUGCAUUAAAGAUUUCCCGCUGGCAUACUCCAGGACGAAGAAGGAUUCCAGCUGUUAAAGAGAGAAUAGAAGAAGGUGAGACCUAGAACAUCCAGCCUCCCACCCAAAAACUUUAAAACUGUCUGAAUAGAAGUGGUAAUGUGAAUAAGUGGAAAGCAACAUCUUAGCGCUCCAUGGAGAUAUAGAAACAGCCAUGUAUGAGGAGCAAAUGAGACCCCACCGCAUAGUUUGUCUAACACUGGUCUAAUUAUGCUAAAAGAGAUAAGGACAUCAGAAAAUAACCUUUUUCAUUAUCUUUCAUAACAUUGUCUUUGAAUGUGAUUUAUAAUUUUGCCAUAAAAAUAUUUGCCGGAA